CCAUGCCGCGUGUAGUGAAGAAGGUCUUCGGAUUGUAAAGCACUUUAAGUUGGGAGGAAGGGCAGUAAGUUAAUACCUUGCUGUUUUGACGUUACCGACAGAAUAAGCACCGGCUAACNUCGUGCCAGCAGCCGCGGUAA
rnacentral:rRNA from 1 species